rnacentral:rRNA from 1 species
UACGUAGGGGGCAAGCGUUGUCCGGAUUUAUUGGGCGUAAAGAGCGUGUAGGCGGCCAGGUAGGUCUGCUGUGAAAACUCGAGGCUUAACCUCGAGCUGUCGGCGGAAACCAUCUGGCUAGAGUCCGGAAGAGGAGAAUGGAAUUCCCGGUGUAGCGGUGAAAAUGCGCAGAUAUCGGGAAGAACACCCGUGGCGAAAGGCGGUUCUCUGGGACGGUACUGACGCUGAGACGCGAAAGCGUGGGGAGCGAACAGG